CCUACGGGCGGCAGCAGUGAGGAAUAUUGGUCAAUGGGCGCGAGCCUGAACCAGCCAAGUCGCGUGAGGGAAGACGGUCCUAUGGAUUGUAAACCUCUUUUGUCGGGGAGCAAAAGACGCCACGCGUGGCGUUCCGCGAGUACCCUAAGAACAAGCAUCGGCUAACUCCGUGCCAGCAGCCGCGGUAAUACGGAGGAUGCGAGCGUUAUCCGGAUUUAUUGGGUUUAAAGGGUGCGCAGGCGGAGGAUCAAGUCAGCGGUAAAAUUGAGAGGCUCAACCUCUUCGAGCCGUUGAAACUGGUUUUCUUGAGUGAGCGAGAAGUAUGCGGAAUGCGUGGUGUAGCGGUGAAAUGCAUAGAUAUCACGCAGAACUCCGAUUGCGAAGGCAGCAUACCGGCGCUCAACUGACGCUCAUGCACGAAAGUGUGGGUAUCGAACAGGAUUAGAUACCCGAGUAGUC
rnacentral:rRNA from 1 species